CCAAGACGGAGACAGGCCUGGCUCUAAGAGCGGUGAGCUCAGCCGCCGACCUAGAACCGGCUGCUAUGACACAUCUCAUUUCCGUGCGCGCCCAGAAACCCUUUCUGCGGAGGCAGCACAGCAUCAGGAGAGGACAGGAGCUUAGGAGUCACCCAGUCUCUGGAUCCGGCUCAGAGUCUCCCCAGGACAGCGGCCACCACCAAGGACAAAGGUCCGCGAGGGACAAAGGCCCCAAGGAGACAAGGAGCCUCGAAGGGGGACAGGCCCUCGAUUGACUUCAGUUGAAGCCGAGCUCGGAGGAGCCUAAGAAGGCCCUAGGGUUCUGCAGGCAGUGGAUUUCAUUUAUUUAUUCAUGAGAGACACAGAGAGAGGCAGAGACACAGGCAGAGGGAAAAGCAGGCUCCCUGCAGGGAGCCCCAUACAGGACUCGAUCCCAGGACUCCAGGAUCAUGACCUGAGCUGAAGGCAGAUGCUCAACCACUGAACUACCCAGGUACCCCCUUACUCUUCUUUAUAAAGUGUUCUUAUAUUCAUUUCCUCUUCGGAGCCUUGCAAACCCUCUGUGAAGUAAGUAGCUUGGUGGUCAUUAUUAAUCCAUUUUGUAG